rnacentral:rRNA from 1 species
GAUGAACGCUGGCGGCGUGCCUAACACAUGCAAGUCGAACGAAGCGACCCAAAGUUUUCGGACAGAGAGUUGACUGAGUGGCGGACGGGUGAGUAACGCGUGGAUAACCUGCCUCAUACAGGGGGAUAACAGUUAGAAAUGACUGCUAAUACCGCAUAAGCGCACAGUACCGCAUGGUACAGCGUGAAAAACUCCGGUGGUAUGAGAUGGAUCCGCGUCUGAUUAGCUAGUUGGCGGGGUAACGGCCCACCAAGGCGACGAUCAGUAGCCGACCUGAGAGGGUGACCGGCCACAUUGGGACUGAGACACGGCCCAAACUCCUACGGGAGGCAGCAGUGGGGAAUAUUGCACAAUGGGCGAAAGCCUGAUGCAGCGACGCCGCGUGAGUGAAGAAGUAUUUCGGUAUGUAAAGCUCUAUCAGCAGGGAAGAAAAUGACGGUACCUGACUAAGAAGCCCCGGCUAACUACGUGCCAGCCGCCGCCGUAAAAC